rfam:Gracilibacillus kekensis strain CGMCC 1.10681 genome assembly, contig: Ga0079828_112
AAUGUAGGUGCAUCUGUUAAGUUCGCCUACGUCCUGUAGGCAACACAGAUGUCAACACUUCCUGUGUA